rnacentral:rRNA from 1 species
ACACAUGCAAGUCGAGGGGCAGCGGGGAGUAGCAAUACUUCGCCGGCGACCGGCGCACGGGUGAGUAACACGUGUGCAACCAACCCCGUACCGGGAGAUAACCCGCGGAAACGUGGACUAACAUCCCAUAAGACUCUAGAGCCGCAUGGCUUUGGAUUUAAAAUUCCGGUGGUACGGGACGGGCACGCGCGACAUUAGGUAGUUGGCGGGGUAAGGGCCCACCAAGCCGACGAUGUCUAGGGGUUCUGAGAGGAAGGUCCCCCACACUGGAACUGAGACACGGUCCAGACUCCUACGGGAGGCAGCAGUGAGGAACAUUGGUCAAUGGGCGCGAGCCUGAACCAGCCAAGUCGCGUGAGGGAAGAAUGGUCCAUGGCCUGUAAACCUCUUUUGUCAAGGAAGAAUAAAAGGUACGUGUACCUUCUUGCCAGUACUUGACGGAUAAGCAUCGGCUAACUCCGUGCCAGCAGCCGCGGUAAUACGGGGGAUGCGAGCGUUAUCCGGAUUUAUUGGGUUUAAAGGGCGCGUAGGCGGGACGCCAAGUCAGCGGUAAAAGACUGCAGCUAAACUGUAGCACGCCGUUGAAACUGGCGCCCUCGAGACGAGACGAGGGAGGCGGAACAAGUGAAGUAGCGGUGAAAUGCUUAGAUAUCACUUGGAACCCCGAUAGCGAAGGCAGCUUCCCAGGCUCGAUCUGACGCUGAUGCGCGAGAGCGUGGGUAGCGAACAGGAUUAGAUACCCUGGUAGUCCACGCCGUAAACGAUGCUCACUGGAUCUUGGCGAUACACUGCCAGGGUUCAAGCGAAAGUAUUAAGUGAGCCACCUGGGGAGUACGUCGGCA